rnacentral:rRNA from 1 species
UACGGGGGGAGCAAGCGUUGUUCGGAUUUACUGGGCGUAAAGGGCGCGUAGGCGGCGCCGCAAGUCGACUGUGAAAUCUCCGGGCUUAACCCGGAAAGGUCAGCCGAUACUGCGGGGCUAGAGUGCAGAAGGGGCAACUGGAAUUCUCGGUGUAGCGGUGAAAUGCGUAGAUAUCGAGAGGAACACCUGCGGCGAAGGCGGGUUGCCGGGCUGACACUGACGCUGAUGCGCGAAAGCUAGGGGAGCGAACGGG